rnacentral:rRNA from 1 species
UGGGGAAUAUUGCACAAUGGGCGCAAGCCUGAUGCAGCCAUGCCGCGUGUGUGAAGAAGGCCUUCGGGUUGUAAAGCACUUUCAGCGAGGAGGAAGGGUUCGGUGUUAAUAGCACCGUUCAUUGACGUUACUCGCAGAAGAAGCACCGGCUAACUCCGUGCCAGCAGCCGCGGUAAUACGGAGGGUGCAAGCGUUAAUCGGAAUUACUGGGCGUAAAGCGCACGCAGGCGGUUUGUUAAGUCAGAUGUGAAAUCCCCGAGCUUAACUUGGGAACUGCAUUUGAAACUGGCAAGCUAGAGUCUUGUAGAGGGGGGUAGAAUUCCAGGUGUAGCGGUGAAAUGCGUAGAGAUCUGGAGGAAUACCGGUGGCGAAGGCGGCCCCCUGGACAAAGACUGACGCUCAGGUGCGAAAGCGUGGGGAGCAAACA